UACAGAGACUGCAAGCGUUAUUCGGAUUCACUGGGGGUAAAGGGUGCGCAGGCGGCCGAGUGUGUGAGGCGUGAAAGCCCGAUGCUUAACAUCGGAAUUGCACCUCAAACUACACGGCUAGAGCAUUGGAGAGGGUAGCAGAAUUCAUGGUGUAGCAGUGAAAUGCGUAGAUAUCCUGAGGAAUACCAGAGGCGAAGGCGGCUACCUGGACAAUUGCUGACGCUCAGGCACGAAAGCGUGGGGAGCAAACGGG
rnacentral:rRNA from 1 species